CACGCAGGCCAUCUUAUCGCUUUUUUUUUCGGAAAAAAGAGGAAAGUCCGGACACCAGAGAGCAGCAUAGCGGGUAACACCCGUCCUCCGUUUUGGCGGAGCGGACCAGUGCAACAGAAAGCAAGUACAGUUCGGCUGUAGUGAAACCAGGUAAACUCUAUGCGGUGCAACGCCAAGUAGUUCUAUAGUUAAGGGUAGCUCGCCCAAUGUAGACGGGUAGGCGGCUAGAAUGUAAGAGUAAUUUUACAUCCAGAUAAAUGAUAAGACACGACAGAAUCCGGCUUAUCGGCCUGCUUUUUUU
rnacentral:RNase_P_RNA from 1 species